AUGCUGGAGGUAUCAGAAGUGCGAAUGCUGACAUAAGUAACGAUAAAGCGGGUGAAAAGCCCGCUCGCCGGAAGACCAAGGGUUCCUGUCCAACGUUAAUCGGGGCAGGGUGAGUCGACCCCUAAGGCGAGGCCGAAAGGCGUAGUCGAUGGGAAACAGGUUAAUAUUCCUGUACUUGGUGUUACUGCGAAGGGGGGACGGAGAAGGCUAUGUUGGCCGGGCGACGGUUGUCCCGGUUUAAGCGUGUAGGCUGGUUUUCCAGGCAAAUCCGGAAAAUCAAGGCUGAGGCGUGAUGACGAGGCACUACGGUGCUGAAGCAACAAAUGCCCUGCUUCCAGGAAAAGCCUCUAAGCAUCAGGUAACAUCAAAUCGUACCCCAAACCGACACAGGUGGUCAGGUAGAGAAUACCAAGGCGCUUGAGAGAACUCGGGUGAAGGAACUAGGCAAAAUGGUGCCGUAACUUCGGGAGAAGGCACGCUGAUAUGUAGGUGAAGUCCCUCGCGGAUGGAGCUGAAAUCAGUCGAAGAUACCAGCUGGCUGCAACUGUUUAUUAAAAACACAGCACUGUGCAAACACGAAAGUGGACGUAUACGGUGUGACGCCUGCCCGGUGCCGGAAGGUUAAUUGAUGGGGUUAGCGCAAGCGAAGCUCUUGAUCGAAGCCCCGGUAAACGGCGGCCGUAACUAUAACGGUCCUAAGGUAGCGAAAUUCCUUGUCGGGUAAGUUCCGACCUGCACGAAUGGCGUAAUGAUGGCCAGGCUGUCUCCACCCGAGACUCAGUGAAAUUGAACUCGCUGUGAAGAUGCAGUGUACCCGCGGCAAGACGGAAAGACCCCGUGAACCUUUACUAUAGCUUGACACUGAACAUUGAGCCUUGAUGUGUAGGAUAGGUGGGAGGCUUUGAAGUGUGGACGCCAGUCUGCAUGGAGCCGACCUUGAAAUACCACCCUUUAAUGUUUGAUGUUCUAACGUUGACCCGUAAUCCGGGUUGCGGACAGUGUCUGGUGGGUAGUUUGACUGGGGCGGUCUCCUCCUAAAGAGUAACGGAGGAGCACGAAGGUUGGCUAAUCCUGGUCGGACAUCAGGAGGUUAGUGCAAUGGCAUAAGCCAGCUUGACUGCGAGCGUGACGGCGCGAGCAGGUGCGAAAGCAGGUCAUAGUGAUCCGGUGGUUCUGAAUGGAAGGGCCAUCGCUCAACGGAUAAAAGGUACUCCGGGGAUAACAGGCUGAUACCGCCCAAGAGUUCAUAUCGACGGCGGUGUUUGGCACCUCGAUGUCGGCUCAUCACAUCCUGGGGCUGAAGUAGGUCCCAAGGGUAUGGCUGUUCGCCAUUUAAAGUGGUACGCGAGCUGGGUUUAGAACGUCGUGAGACAGUUCGGUCCCUAUCUGCCGUGGGCGCUGGAGAACUGAGGGGGGCUGCUCCUAGUACGAGAGGACCGGAGUGGACGCAUCACUGGUGUUCGGGUUGUCAUGCCAAUGGCACUGCCCGGUAGCUAAAUGCGGAAGAGAUAAGUGCUGAAAGCAUCUAAGCACGAAACUUGCCCCGAGAUGAGUUCUCCCUGAC
rnacentral:rRNA from 1 species